rnacentral:misc_RNA from 1 species
CAACCCUCAAGCAAUGAAUGCUUGGUAUUGGGCUCCGCUGCUUCACUCAGCGUGCCUUAAAAUCAGUGGCGGUGCCGUCGGGCCCUGAGCGCAGUAAAUAUCCUCGCUACAGGGACUCAGUGGACGCUGGCCAUCAAUCCCCCCAACUCUCUAA